ensembl:miRNA Mir682 microRNA 682
GCCGCCGGCAUCUGGCACUGUGGUUCCUGCAUGAAAACAGUGGCCGGCGGGGCCUGGACCUACAACACCACCUCUGCAGUCACAGUGAAGUCUGCC